rnacentral:rRNA from 1 species
CGGGGUGAGUAAUGUCUGGGAAACUGCCUGAUGGAGGGGGAUAACUACUGGAAAUGGUAGCUAAUACCGCAUAACGUCGCAAGACCAAAGAGGGGGACCUUAGGGCCUCUUGCCAUCGGAUGUGCCCAGAUGGGAUUAGCUAGUAGGUGGGGUAACGGCUCACCUAGGCGACGAUCCCUAGCUGGUCUGAGAGGAUGACCAGCCACACUGGAACUGAGACACGGUCCAG